rnacentral:rRNA from 1 species
CCUACGGGGGGCAGCAGUGAGGAAUAUUGGUCAAUGGGCGAGAGCCUGAACCAGCCAAGUCGCGUGAAGGAUGACGGCCCUACGGGUUGUAAACUUCUUUUGUCAGGGAGCAAUUGAGUCCACGUGUGGGCUUAGCGAGAGUACCUGAAGAAAAAGCAUCGGCUAACUCCGUGCCAGCAGCCGCGGUAAUCCGGGGGAUGCGAGCGUUAUCCGGAUUUAUGGGGUUUAAAGGGUGCGUAGGCGGAAUAUCAAGUCAGCGGUAAAAAUUCGGGGCUCAACCCCGUCGUGCCGUUGAAACUGAUGUUCUUGAGUGGGCGAGAAGUAUGCGGAAUGCGUGGUGUAGCGGUGAAAUGCAUAGAUAUCACGCAGAACUCCGAUUGCGAAGGCAGCAUACCGGCGCCCAACUGACGCUGAAGCACGAAAGCGUGGGUAGCGAACAGGAUUAGAUACCCGGGUAGUC